AGUUCUCAACUGCCUUUUAUGGGUUUCGCUCCCAGGAGGGUGAAGUUGGAUUUGGAGGAUGACUUUGCUGGCGCUCUUAGAUGAGCUUCGUCGGCUCCUCUUGAAUGCAUGAGCCUGUUCGUGCCUUUGCUGUGGAAGGGACUCUGAUGUGAUAAUCGUCUACGUCGGAUGUUUCGUUCGCUUCUGGGCGUGAGUGGGAUUGCUGCUGACGGCGUCUUUGACCA
rnacentral:misc_RNA from 1 species